CAGUAGCCGCGGGAAAACGGAGGGGGCUAGCGUUGUUCGGAAUUACUGGGCGUAAAGCGCACGUAGGCGGCUUGGUAAGUUAGAGGUGAAAGCCUGGAGCUCAACUCCAGAAUUGCCUUUAAGACUGCCUCGCUCGAACGUCGGAGAGGUGAGUGGAAUUCCGAGUGUAGAGGUGAAAUUCGUAGAUAUUCGGAAGAACACCAGUGGCGAAGGCAGCCCCCUGGGCCAAUACUGACGCUCAUGCACGAAAGCGUGGGGAGCAAACAGGAUUAGAUACCCCGUAGUCCCUGUCUCUUAUACA
rnacentral:rRNA from 1 species